rnacentral:rRNA from 1 species
ACAAGCGGUGGAGCAUGUGGUUAAUUCGACGCAACGCGAAGACCUUACCAGGGCUUGACAUCCCCUGACCGCGUAUGAAAGUACGUUUUCACCCUCGGGUGACAGGGAGACAGGUGGUGCAUGGUUGUCGUCAGCUCGUGUCGUGAGAUGUUGGGUUAAGUCCCGCAACGAGCGCAACCCCUACGUUUAGUUGCUAACAGGUGAAGCUGAGCACUCUAGACGAACUGCCGUUGACAAAACGGAGGAAGGUGGGAUGACGUCAAAUCAUCAUGCCCCUUAUGUUCUGGGCUACACACGUGCUACAAUGGCCGGUACAGACGGAGGCGAAGCCGCGAGGCGGAGCAAAUCCGAAAAAGCCGGUCUCAGUUCGGAUUGCAGGCUGCAAUUCGCCUGCAUGAAGUCGGAAUCGCUAGUAAUCGCAGGUCAGCAUACUGCGGUGAAUACGUUCCCGGGCCUU